CUUGCAUAUAAUUUUCAAGAAAAUGAUUAUAACUAUGUUUCUUGAAUAAUUCCACAUUAGGACAUUUUUUUAUUUCGAGUGGUAAAUUAUUCCAUACUUUGGUUGCAGAAUAAUGAAAAGAUUUUUUAUAAAAAUUUGUAUUUGGUCUUGGAACAAAAAGAUCAUUAUUAGAGACAGAUCGUAAGUUGUGGCGUUGCACAUCAUCAAUAUUUAGUAUUGCUAAGUAAUCAGGUGUUAGCCCAUUUAUAAUUUUAUACAUUAGAAUUGAUUGUUGGUAUUUUAUUCUUUUGGUAAAAGAUAGCCAUUUUAAAGAAGAAAACAUGAAAUUAGAUGGAAUAGAAAUAUCGCAUUCCAGUAUAAUUCUUGCUACUCUUUUUU
rnacentral:lncRNA from 1 species